rnacentral:misc_RNA from 1 species
GUUGAAAGAGCUGCUUGUGCAACUUUAUGAUGAGGAUCAUCCAAGUGCUGGAAAAACAACUUCAUUACCUUCUCGAAGUUCUGGAUCACCUCCUGAAUACCUUUAGGCCCUUGCUGCAGCAAAGACCGGAGAUGAUUAAAAGCAGCAACUCUAGCAUUCCAGUCAGAACUUGGACUAAGUCCCUCACUCAGUGCGUCAGUAAGAGAUGCAGGGCCUUCUACAUAAUUUGACAUCUCCCCAAGUGAAAGUUGGCUGUCAUCAAAACUUCUUCUCCCAGCAGACAUCCGUCCAGUUACAUGCUUUCUUAAAAGUGGCCUCUGAAAGUUGGGAAUGUGACUGUUCUGAGAAUCCCUGAAGUUUACAUCUUUGUAAGACAUAUCUACAUACUGCCUGUCAAUGUGUG